rnacentral:tRNA from 1 species
GGGAAUAUAAUUCAGAGGUAGAUGGAGUAAGUAACUCGUGUCGCUGGUUCGAAUCCAGCUAUUCCCGCCA